AUUGAACGCUGGCGGCAGGCUUAACACAUGCAAGUCGAGCGAGCGGCGGACGGGUGAGUCAUGUCUGGGAAACUGCCUGAUGGAGGGGGAUAACUACUGGAAACGGUAGCUAAUACCGCAUACCCUCAGAUGUGCCCAGAUGGGAUUGGCUAGUAGGUGGGGUAAUGGCUCACCUAGGCGACGAUACCUAGCUGUUCUGAGAGGAUGACCGGCCACACGGGAACUGAGACACGGUCCAGACUCCUACGGGAGGCAGCAGUGGGGAAUAUUGAACAAGGGGCGCAAGCCUGAUGCAGCCAUGCAGCGAGGGUGAAGAAGUCAUUCGGGUUGUAAAGCACUUUCAGCGAGGAGGCGUUACUCGCAGAAGAAGCACCGGCUAACUCCGUGCCAGCAGCCGCGGUAAUAC
rnacentral:rRNA from 1 species